CGCACAUUGCGCUCUCCAGUAUUCUGGGGAGCAUGCCUGUUCGAGCGUCAUUUCGACCCUCAAGUCUUAGUUACUUGGUGUUGGGGCCCGCGGCGCGGGUCCCGUAAUCUGUUGGCAGAGCUGGUUAGCAGCCUGAGCGUAGUAAAUCACCUCGCUUCUGGACGCUGCCGGCCCCUCGCCGUAAAACACCCACAUAACCUUAGUUUGACCUCGGAUCAGGUAGGAAUACCCGCUGAACUUAA
rnacentral:misc_RNA from 1 species